UCUCCGUUGGUGAACCAGCGGAGGGAUCAUUACCGAGUUAUCAACUCCCAAACCCUGUGAACAUACCCAACGUUGCUUCGGCGGGACCGCCCCGGCGCCCUCGGCGUCCCGGAACCAGGCGCCCGCCGGAGGACCCAAACUCUUGUUUAAACCAUAGUGGCAUAUUCUGAGUCUCACAAGAAAAAUGAAUCAAAACUUUCAACAACGGAUCUCUUGGCUCUG
rnacentral:misc_RNA from 1 species